UUAAAAAAAAAAAAAACUUAUUGUAAAAAAAGGUUCGAUAACAAGAAUUGAAAUACUUCAUUACUUACCAACUUCUUCUUUUUAUAUUAGAUCUUUCGCCUGAAGAAAAAGAAAAGGGGAGGAGAAACCCUUUUGCAGAGGUUUGACGUUUGAGAUGAAUGUUUGAGUUCUGUUUGGAGAUAAACCUUUGGAAACACACAUAAUUAUUAAAACAAGCCCAACUUGAUUGGAUCAUUUUAAGUCUAAAAUAUGAGCCCAACCUGAAAUAAGGCCUAAGAAUAGGGGUCCAACUUUGUUGAGAUGAAAUUCAUAAUCCACUCCCUUCAUCCCCACCACCAAGAGGAUACAGGCCAACAGCCUCUGUGGUGAUAUUGUUGUCAGUAAAUUUCCUGAGAAAAUGCAACAAAAUGACUAAUUAUCGAUUUUUAAUUUGUACUACAUAUGAAAGCAGAAAGUAGAUUCACAUCGGAGUAGGGAUCACAAUGUACGCGCUACAGGAGGAAAAUGGUGUACAAGUUCAUUUUAUACUCACAUGUAGAUGUAGAUUGUGUUAACAAGGGCAACUAAUCAUCUAAAUUUUGGCAGAUUUAGGCCUUGAUUACUAUUUACUAGUCGUUUUUUUUUGUUUUACCAAUUUACUAGUUUUGAAUUCUCUUCAUGAGUCAUGAGUCAAUGAAGGUUUUUUUUUUUUUGGGCCUAUUUUGGUAAAGUUGGGCUCCUUUUAAUUUUCUUCCCAACCGUUGGCGGACUCGGCUCUUCCCAAUUUUGCUGGGAAUUUUAUGAUGCCCAGUUGGAGAAUUUGGUGCUGUAAUUUUGUGUUUCGUAAACGAAAAUGUGGUGCUCCUAAUUUUUCUAAAAUGGAUUGUGACUUUCCAAGAUAUGGUCCUCUAGAUGACCUUGAUGUUAAAAUUAUGUGUUACUGUCCUUGACAGUGAUUUAAGGGAGAAUAUGGAAUUACUUGCCACUUGCACACCUACAUAAUCUAAAAUGCGGAAGUACUCAUACAGUAAAUGGCAGGUUCCAAAUCACUGUAUACACACCAUUUGGAAGUUAAAGAGUGGCAAUGGGAGUCUCUUUGUCUAUGAAUAUUAGAACGUUUAGCAGGCAAUUUGAUGUAAGUACAUCUUCAUCACUAAUUAAAAGUAACCAAAUUAAUUGGGCAUAUGAAAAAAAACAAGUUUGUGAUUAUUUUUAACUUACCAAUUUGCCUUAUUUAUUUAUUUAAUUUGCUAAGUUUUAUUAAUAAAGAAAAAAACACACACAAGAUCGUGGGGGAGAGAGACCAUCUAAUUGGCCAGCCACCGAGGUAUUGAUUGGUCAUUUAGUUAUACCCCGAUAUCACAAUAUUCGGCAGUAUGAAAUUUUUUUUUUUUUUUUUUAUAAAGCGCAGUAUGGCAUAGAAGUCUUAAUGAAAACAAUAUUGUACUCCUUGUAUCACAGCAUAUUGAACUCUAUUAGAAGAAACAAUAUUGUGAUUUAUGAUCACUACUGAAUAGAAAUUAAACUACAUCUGUAUACUUGCNNNNNNNNNNNNNNNNNNNNNNNNNNNNNNNNNNNNNNNNNNNNNNNNNNNNNNNNNNNNNNNNNNNNNNNNNNNNNNNNNNNNNNNNNNNNNNNNNNNNGAGAUUUACCGCUACUGCUUGGGGCUUGGAAGAACUAAACAUGGUUGCAGUCAAAAUACAACCUGGAGUUUGGCAUUGUUCAACCUAAAGGCCAAUAUUCCCAGACAUGCAGUUUACUUGAUCACUUCAAUCAUUCAACUGUCUCUUCACGGAAAAUUGAGGCAGCUGAGAAAUGUACCCAACCACAAGUCCACAACCUAGCUGAAAAAGAUAUUUCUGGUUUUUUUAGUGUUAAAUUUAGCUGAAAAAGAUUCAAAUGUGAUAAAGAAGAGAAAGAUGGGUGUGAACUCUUUUCUUAUAGCAGAUCUGAAUUAGUUGAUCGGUGGAGUAAUACAGUGGUAGAUGAGGUACCGAGGGUGAGGGAAACCCGGGAUACACUACCAACUGUACCAUGUUCUUCAAAUUCAGGUAAAGUCACAGUUUAUCCGGAGAGUGUGAGUUUUCGAGUUACUUCUUAGAUUUGGUGUGGGUGUAUGUACAACAAGAUUGGGGUGGUCUUUUCUUUCAUGGGUUACUGAAGGUAAGAUCCGAGAGAGAAGGGUUGAGUCUUAAGGAGUAUAGUUAGACAUCUGGUUAAGACUUGAAGAUGACGGGAAGAGGGAUUGGCCAUAGGCAGUAUGGAGGGGAAAUAAGAAGUCUUGAAAAGAGAUUUACAGUAGUGGAAAGGAAGACGUUAGUCUUCGAGAGAAGAAAAUCGGCAGCGGUUGAGGUGAGAAUUGCAAUUUCUGAAAAAGGGGUUAGAGGAUUUUUCAAAGCCACCACCACUGAAGGUGGAGGGCGGUGGCUAGGGCUUCUUUUGUGUUAGUUGAGCACAGAAGAGAUUAAACCAAGGAGAUAUAGCGAUGAGAAGGUAUCGAUUGUAGCCAAUCGGAAGGAGAACAAGCAGGGGAAGUACUUGGAAGUCAUUUUCACUAGGAAGUCAGGUGGAAGUGGUUUGAGAACUUUACGAUUACCGGCGGGGAAAAGUAAUGAUGGUUGGGCAGAUAUGGGGUUGUGUAUAAUGGAUAUGUUUACACCUGGAGUUAGAGAAGGAGGGAAUAGAAAGACUCAAGCAACACAGCCACCUUCUAGAAGGAGUGGUUUUCAACCUUUGAUGCAACCUGGUUCAAGGAAGAGGGAGACAUUAGAGAGGGGACGAGGGAACAAAAAACCCAAGUAAAGCCCAAAGAUUCCGCUGUAGGCAUUACUGGUGUAUGGAACAAGCACUCUAUCUCAAACUACUCAUGGUGGGGGGCUUCAGUAGUGUGCCUAUCCAACUCAAAAUUGGUGGAUUGGCAAUGGGUAAAAACGGAGGUGGACAAAAUAGUGGGUGAAAUUACUAUGACAAUUUUGAGUAAUGGGGAAGCUACUAUUGCAGCUGAAACGCAAGAACUGGCUAGAAAAUUAGUAGAAGUGGGAGGAUUGGAGAGGAGUGGGAUCAAAAUAAGCUUCAAGAGAUGGACUCCAGAAUUUGGUGCGCUGAAAGGGGUAGAGGAGAUCGAAAGGAGGUGGAUUCGGUUAGAGGGCAUACCACAUCAUUUGAAAUUUACAGAGGUGAUAACAAAACUGAUGAAUUCUAUCAGUAAGGAUUAUGAGAUUGAUCAAGAUUCGCUGAAUUAUAGAAGGGGAGAAGUAGUAAGGGUCAGAGUCAAGAAGAUAAGAAUAGAAGAGAUACCCAGAAUCAUGUUCAUGGAGGAGCGUGGCUACAGAUUCCCCAUCCUCUUAUCGAUUGAAGAGGAUGAGAAAGGGAACAAGAUAGUUUCUCCGACACAAACUGAAGGAGGUGACGACGGAGGAGAGAGACAGGUUCGAGUGCAGCAUGGAGUACAACAAGCUAAAACUCCCAUUACAUGUGCGAUUGCCAUUGCAGAGCACGUGGGUGUAGCGAGGAUUAACAACAUUGGGCCUGAAUCUGAAGGGAGCUGGGUCCAUAUUGCGAGUAAGCCUAACCCAAAUACGAAAAGGUUCGAGAUGGGGAAGACUUGGGCCCAAGUCGUCAGUACUAAUAGAUAUGAGCCGUUCAGAGAGGUCAUUGAAGAAACCCCAGCCCAAGAGGAGGAUAAGGGGAAUCCACCCGGUCCAGUGGUAGUGACAGUUGAGGAGAGUCAGAAUGGUAAGGGUCCAAUAGCACAAAGAGAGCCCAACACAGAGAAGAAACCAAUGCCCAGUGGUCUGUUUGGCAGUGGAUGCCCAAAUCUCCGAUUAUCGAAACAAUUAUGGCCCAGCAACAAAGGGGGCAGGAAACUGAGAUUUGGGAGAUUAAAGAGGAUCGCUCGGCAGGUUUUGGAGGAUGAAGAACAGAGGAAUGGGGAUAUAAACUCAGCCCCUUAUGCUCAGAUUGAUUGUGACUCAAUCUAUUAAGGGAAGUCAGAAGUGUCUGUAUCUAGCCCCACUUCACAUAUCAGACAGUUGAAACCUGGUGAAGGCUCGUCUCGACAGCACGCCCACAAAGGUAAGGGUCCUAUCUUUGUGAGCAGUAGAGAUGAUUGUGAAAUUCUGGGUCAUACUGAAUUUAGCGAAUUAAAUACUCCACCGCCGGGGUUCGAGAAUCGAUCACCAGCUAAGAGAGUAGUUAAUUUUGGCGCGCUCAUAGAUCAGGAAUUUUGCCAUCUGAGAACUGAGGAGGAAGUCAACAAAUGGGUCGAUACUAUCAUUGGGUCGAUAUCGAAGCAAUUAGGCUUGUCUUCAACCAAUGGGGACCAGGCAGUCAAAAAGUUUUUCUUAGAGCUUGGUUAUGCCAAGUUGAGGGAGAAACAAAAUCGGGUGAUUGACGAUGAGGAAAGAGAAAGGAUAAAUUAUGAGCUAUGCAACGAAGAGUUGUUGGGGAAGUCGGUUGCAUAUGGCUAAGGUAGUAACAUGGAAUGCAAGGGGUCUAUGCAAUUUAGAUGCCCAAGGGAGUAUUAGAUUGUUACUCACUCAAACAAAAGCGGAUGUGAUCAUGAUUCAAGAAACAAAAAUAAAGGAGAAGGAAGUUAUUAAUAAAGCAAAUAUGUGGCCGAAGGAGUGGAUGUGGGAGUUUGUACCUUCUAUUGGACUCUCGGGCGGUAUGCUUUUAGCAUGGAAUCCGGACGUAGUUGAAAUGAAGGCGUCAUUAUUGGGUAAGUUUUCUAUAUCAAUUUCUUGCACUAUCCUUAGUGUGAGUUUUGAAUGUAUGUUAACCGGGGUCUAUGGACCGAGUGACAAGAGGUUCUUGGGGGAGUUUUGGGAGGAAUUACACAAAAUUCGAUUGUGGUGUAAUCUCCCAUGGUGCAUUGGGGGUGAUUUUAACAUAAUCCGUUUCACGUAUGAGAAGAGAGGAGGUAGUGCUCUUACAAGACCGAUGAGGCAAUUUGCCGAGUUCGAAGAUAAAUAUGGUCUUGUGGAGCACUUUCUAGAAGGUGCUAUGUAUACUUGGUCAAACAAUCAAUGUGACCCGGUUAUGUCAAAGUUGGAUCGAUUUAUUACAUCGGUGGAUUGGGAGUUGUUUUUUGGAGGGUCAAAGCAACAAGCCCUUCCAAAGUACACUUUGGACCAUCGGGCUAUCCUAUUCGAAACCAUGGAAAUGAGACACAAGGUGAGGGCCUUUUUCGGUUUGAAAUCAUGUGGCUUUGAAGACAAGUCGUUUGGCGGGCUAAUCAAAACAUGGUGGGAGGAGUUCCACUGUGGAUGGGAACACCUAGUCACGUAUGGUGGANNNNNNNNNNNNNNNNNNNNNNNNNNNNNNNNNNNNNNNNNNNNNNNNNNNNNNNNNNNNNNNNNNNNNNNNNNNNNNNNNNNNNNNNNNNNNNNNNNNNUCAAGAAGUGGAAUAAAGAGGUGUUCGGGAGAGUGGAUCGGAAGAUAGAAAUGAGAAAUUCUUUUUUUUUAUUCCCAGAAACGCCCAGGAAGAAAUCGUGGAGUUAUCUAAUGAUGAGAUGAUGGAGAGGGCAAUUCUCCUGGAUAGCUUCCCCCACUCUCUCAAAAGGCAUCCAAUCAGGUUGAAACAAAAGCCGGGACUCCUCCAUAAAUAAGAGGGACAAACAAACUCUAAACCACUAUUUCCAUGCAUGGCCAACUUGAGGAGAAAAGUGAAUAGUCUCUCAUGUCUUAGUGUGGACGAGUCCAUAACUAGAGAUGCGGGAAAAAUCACUUAGUGUGGACGAGUCCAUAACUAGAGAUGCGGGAAAAAUCAAAGACCAUGUUACUUCCUUCUAUGAGAAGUUAUUUCAAGAGGAGCACAGAGGAUUCUCAAGGUGUGGAAAUGGAGAAAGAUUUUGAGGUGGAGGAGGUUCUUCAAGCUCUAAAAGAUAUGGAUGGAGAAAAAAUGCCGGGUCCCGAUGGUUUUCCAAUGGUUUUUUACAAAACUUUUUGGUAUGUGUUCCAAGGGGACAUAAUGGCUUUAGUGAAGGAAUUCCAAGAGACCGGUUUCUUGGAUUGGAGGUUGAACACUACUUUCAUUACAUUGAUUCCGAAGAAGGAAGGGGUGCUAUCGAUUAAUGAUUUUCGACCUAUAAGUCUCAUUGGGGGAGUGUACAAAAUAAUCUCGAAGGUGUUGGCAACAAGGAUGAGAAAGGUUAUACACAAAGUGGUCUCCGCUACUCAAGGUGCUUUCAUGGAGGACAAACAAAUCUUGGAUAGCGUACUAAUCGCCAAUGAUGAGAGGAUUAGGCAAGGAUCUCCUGGUAUUGUGUGCAAGGUGGACAUCACAAAAGCUUAUGACCAUGUGAAUAGGAGUUUCGUCGAUUAUCUCUUGGGGAGGAUGGGUUUUGGCAUUAAGUGGAGGAAGUGGGUUCGUACUUGCAUCUCUACGGCCAGAUUCUCCAUCAUGGUAGAUGGGGAACCGUCCGGCAAUUUCAAAUCUCAAAGAGGACUAAGACAAGGGGAUCCUCUCUCUCCUUCUCUCUUUCUUUUGGUCAUGGAGGCACUAUCUAGACUCACGGCCAAGUGUAUAAAUGAGGGUUUGCUUGAAGUCUUUCAAGUAGGCAAUGGUGAAGUGAAAGUUGGUAUGGUCCAAUUUGCGGACGAUACAAUUUUUCUCACGGAGCCAUCCUAUCAAGCUCUAGCCACAAUCAAGAUGGUGUUAUUCCUCUUCGAAGGUGUAUCCGGGUUUAAGGUGAACUUGGCAAAGUCUUCCAUCACCAAAAUGGGAGUUGUAUCAAACAUCCGAGACUUGGCUAUUUUUUUUGGUUGCGAAGUAGGGAAGUUACCUCUUAAAUAUCUUGGCUUACCUCUUGGGGCUAAAUUCAAGAAUGUGGAGGUAUGGAAUUCGGUGGUGGAAAAUUUUCAAAAGUGUUUGAGUGGGUGGAAACGAAAGAUUUCAUCGAAAGGGGAAAGGUUGAUACUUGCAAAAAGUACACUUGCUAGUCUACCCAUUUACUAUCUUUCACUUUUAACCAUUCCAUCGCAAGUAGCCAACAAGAUUGAGAAGAUCAUUAGGAACUUUCUAUGGGGUUCUAGUGAAGAGAAAAGGAAAAUCCAUCUUGUAGCUUGGGAUCAUGUAUGUACUACUAUGGAUGAGGGUGGACUAGGGCUUUGAAAAAUUAGAGUGAUGAAUAAAGCACUUCUCAUGAAAUGGUUGUGGAGGUAUGGGAAUGAACAUGAUGCUUUAUGGAAGAAGGUUAUAGACGCGAAGUAUGGGAGUAGUGACAAUAGAGGGCGUUCAAGGCGUACCAAUCGAACUCAUGGGUGUAGUUUGUGGAGAAGUAUUCAAGUUUCUCAAGAUGACUUUUUCGAUGGCAUUAGGCAUGUGGUGAAGAGAGGCGACAAGACCCGUUUUUGGCAUGAUACGUGGAUUGGUGAGUCUCCUUUUGUGAGAAGAUUCCAUAAGCUUUACAAGUACGCUUCGUUGAAAGGAGGAGUGGUGAGGGAUCACGUUGAGGAUGGGGGAAGGUGGAACCCACAUUUGAGAAGAACACUUUUUAGGGAAAGCGAACAGGCGCAAAUUGAUAGACUCAUGGAGUUACUAGCUAACAUCUCUCUAGUAGAUGAGAACGAUGAGUGGGAGUGGAAGCAAGACAAAAGUAAAGUUUUUUCGGUUAAGUCUUGUUACGAAUUCUUGAUUAAUAGUUCGGCUCAAGGUUCGGAGGCAAGAAGGGUUUUUCCUUACAAACGCACUUGGGAGCCUAAAAUCCCAACUACCGUCAAGUUCUUCAUGUGGACCUUCCAUUGGAACCGCUUACUCACGGUCGAUCAACUUCAAAGAAGGGGUUUUCAAAUCCCGAACAGGUGCUGCCUAUGUGAAAUGGAGGAGGAAACAAUCCCCCAUUUAUUUUUUAAGUGUGGCUUUACAUUGGCCAUUUGGCAAGAGCUACUGGUAGUCAAACCAGCAGCGCGACAUGCUCUGCAAAGGUGGGAAACUGCAUCUGAAUUACUGGAAAAUUGACAGUCCUUUAAUAGUAGAGACAUUGCUGCAGCAGUUUGGGAUAUUCUACCAUAUGCAGUUCUGUGGAGAGUAUGAAAGACGCGCAAUGAUGUUGUGUUCAACAAUGGGAAAGCAGAAUUUGGCAAGGUAAUUCAGAGCAUUAAAUCGACUGUAUGGGCUUGGUUAAAUAUGUGCAGGAAAUCAAUGGCUCUAAGGAAUGAAAUUAGGUACACUGAUCUGGUAUUUGGUUGGAGAACAGUGAUGACUGAGCAAUGGUGAUAGAAGGCCUGCUGUAGUCUGGUAUGUUCAGGAUUGAAGGUUGUUCCCCAAUAUGCUGCGCCUCUUCUCAGCAUUAAGGCUAAACUAUCGAGUUAUGCAACGAAGUAUGGUCGAAUUCCCAACUUAUGCAACCAACUAAAUUAAGUUUAAAAUAAUCAACAAACUUUUAAGUUUUUGCAAUUUAUGCAAUGCCGUUAACAAUCCUUAACAGAUGUUAGGUUUUGCUGACUGUAUUUUAUUUUUAAAUUUUUUUAUUGCUGACUGUGUAAUAAUUUAUAGUUGACUAUAUAUUUUUUUAUUUAGAUUUUGAGUUCGAUUUGAUGAAUCCAAUAGAUUGAGAAUUAUAAAAUUGAAAAUUAGGGUUUAGAAACCCAAGACUUACCUUCUUUUGAGAUGAACCAAUUUUUUUUUUAUUUUUUAUUUUUUUUUUUGAAAAAAAAAUAUAUUAUUUAAUAUUAAAAUUUAUCCGGUCAGCGAAAAAACUAACGUCUGUUAGAUUUCAUUUGACGGCGUUGCAUAAAUUGGGAAAACAUAAAAGUUUGCUGAUGAUUUUAAACAUAAUUUAGUUUGUUGCAUAAGUUGGGAAUUCGACCCUACUUUGCUGCAUAACUCAACAGUUUAGCCUUACAGGUCUGCAGGUGCAACUUGACAGAUAGGGCCAAGUUCAGAGACAACAAGAGGGACCUUCAGGGGGAGAACACUGCUGAUUUUUGUUAUUUUUAUGGUGUUGCAGUAAGGAAAGGACUAGGGAGAGUCCAAUACUGUAAGGUAUAGUUUGUAAACUGACAAUGCAACUCUGCUGUUGUAGGUUGAUCAGGAGAUGUAACUGUUUUAUCCCAAAGUUAAUAUAUUUUAACUUUAUAAAAAAAAAAAAAAAAAAAGUCCACAACCUAGCUUAAGACUUUUCACAAUAAUGAAAUGGGCUGUUAUUUAAAAUGAUCGGCAAUCCUUCUUGUCUUGGUCUUGUUCUACUUUCCCACCUUUUUAAAAGAAACAUGUUGGACAGUGAUUAAUAACAUCCCCCACCCCUAUUCUAUUUGGAUUGUUUGGCAAGUUGCCACUAUUCCUCUUAACCAUCAAGCUCAAAAGUCUACUAGGAUGAAGAAAUUUAUAUACCAUUUUCACACCUGUACAAGUUUCAUAUUACAGUAUAUCCACAUGACAUGGCUAUAUAUAUAUGUACGUAUAAUCCAAAGUAACAAAAUACAAAAUUGGCUGUAUCAGGGAUCAAUUCUACCCUAGAAUACCAGACAAAUUGUGUAGGAGGAUAAACACUUUAUACAUACGUUCAGAAAACUCCAUUUCAAAACUGAUCCUUAGCUAAAUUUGGAUUCAGACAUUGCAACAAAAUCUGCUAAUAAGGCAAUACAUCUUAUCUAGCUGGAUGACCAAGUGGACUCUAAACUAACAAAAGAAAAAAAAUAAAAAAAUAAAAAUAAUCCACGAGGUAUGCACGACUGUGUUUUAGAUAAGAUGGUAAAGACACCACAUAUCUUGAUAUAUCUUUCAACAAAAAAUCAAAUAAGAUGCAAUUUGAUAAAAAGAAAAAGCCAUGAUAAGUCACGACAAGUUUCAAACAAUUAAAUUAAACGGCACGCAGUUAGAACUAACACAAUGAUCUUUCUGCAAAAUAUUGAUUACUUCCAUAGAAUAUCAUGUGGACGGCAUUGGCCAUUGCUAUCAACCUUUUUAAGAAAAAAAAAAAAAAUCUCAAGCAAACAUCUCGAAGGAAUAAAAUUAAUUUUACACAGUAAUCCUUAAAAUAAAAAUAAAAAUCCAUGAGAUAUCAAUCAAACAUAAAUCUUAAAAUAGUGACAGAUGGCACAACUACAGCUGCCAAAAAAUAAUGGCAUAAUAACAAAGAGAUUUUGGGACAUACCCUUAUUUGAAAGUCGAAAUUUGAAAUACCCCUAACUAAAAAAAAUAUACCCCAUUUCAAGAUGUGGUGUUAAAACAAUCCCAAUGGGAGGGCAAUUUGGUGUCCUCCACGUAGAUGCCACACAAGUAAAACCACCUUCAAAAUCACUCUCUAUUCAAGGUAGUCAAAACCCCCUGCGAAGUGGUGCCAAUGGAAAAAUUUGGAAAUGUCAGUUUAGGAAAAUUAAAUGGCUUAUAAGACGAAACUUUGAGUUCCGGUAAUUUUACUAAAUCUAAGACGGAACUCUGUAUUCUGUUUUUUUUUUUUUUUUAAAGUGUAUAAGACGGAACUCUGUAUUCCGUUGUUUUUUUUUUUAAAUGUAUAAGACGGAACUUCAAAUUCCAUAUGAGAUAAAGUGUAUAAGACGGAACUGUGAGUUUCAAAAAAGUGUUGAACCGAAACACUGUGUUCCGUCUUUGCAAUUAACAUGGCAUUUUGGAUGGCACUCUAUUCCCCUCUCAAAUGUCAUUGAAACUUCUAACAAUAUUUGAAUAUUUGACCCACCAUUCUAUUAGAAAAGAAAUUUUGGGUGAGAAGAUAUUUUAUACUACCACUCUUCUCAAAUGUCCUCCCAUUGGGAUUGCUCUUAUCUUAACCAUCUAUCGUAUCAUAAAAUUAACGUAUGAUUGUAAAUCUCUUCUAUCUUGAAAUGGGUAUCUUAAUUUUUUUUUUCGAAUGGGGCAUCUCAAAUUUCGAUUUCCAAACAGGGGUAUGUCCAAAAAAAAAAAAUCUCUAGAACCAAAGAAAUUUUCAAUAUAAAACAUUGUAGUACUACAUAUUUAAAACUAUGACUUUUAUAUAUGAAAUGAAAUUGGGCAGGCGUGGUGGAUCAUUUCAUCUCAUCGAGGUCAACGGUCAAAUUUUCAUCAUUUUUAAAAAAUUUCUUUCUCGUUUAAAUUAAAUUCAAACUUAUCAUUUAUAUACUCUAUACUAUACUUGUCUUUAAGCUCAAAUGAAAGAUCAAAAUACCUCUUAAACCUUUCUUCUUUCAGCAAACAAAGCUUUUUCUUCAGAGCUAUAAUAACAGAAUGACUCAAAUCUUUGAUUUCGUAUCUCAUCAAAAUUCCGACGGUUUUGAUCGUAUUUCAGAUGAUCUUAUUCUUCUUAUCUUCAAUAAACUCUCUGAUAUCAAAACCCUAACUCGUUGUCGAUCUGUAACAAAACGAUUUAACUCACUUGUUCCACAAGCUGAAAACUUGCUUCUCAAAGUUGAUUGUGUAAUCUCUAGUGAAAAUAGUGAAUGGAUUCUUUUACAUGUUUUCAAAUCACUUCUUCAUUCUUUACAAGAUCUCAUUUCACCUAAACGUUAUACUUCAUCUUCAUCAUCAUCAUCAUCUUCUACUUCAAUUCAACCAAGUUCUCCAUCUGAAAUUCUUCGUGGAUUUGAGAAAAUCAAACGGUUAGAAAUUGAAUUACCUUCUGGAGAUCUACGUUUAGAAAAAGGUACAGUGUUAAGAUGGAAAGCAGAGUUUGGUAAAUCUUUGAAAGGUUGUGUAAUACUUGCUAUUCGUUCAAUUGAAACUAAUGGUGGAGAUUGUAACAAUGAAGAUGAUGUUGAAAUUGAUUUUAAUGGUGAGAAUGGUGGUGGUGGAUUGAAAUUAAGAGUAGUUUGGACAAUUAGUGCGUUAAUUGCAGCAUCAGCAAGACAUUAUUUGUUAAGAGAAGUGAUUAAAGAACAUAAAGAGAUUGAAAGUUUAGUUUUGAAAGAUAGAGAAGGUGAAGGAACAGUUGUAAUGGAUAAACAAGGGUUGACAGAGUUUCGAGAAAGGGGAGAAGAAGAUGAUGCAGCGGCGCAUAUUAGCACUGUUGGAUGGAAGAAUAGAACAACAGUGCCAGCUGUUCGAAUGAGAAUGAGACAUGUGUCAAGACUGGAUUUACCUGGUGGGGUGAGAAUAAGGGGUGCCACAUUGGUUGUAGUUAGACCUACAGAUGGAAAGGACACAAUGAAGAGUGAAAUUGAAGACAGAAUGGAGGAUAGAAAUUCUGCUAUGGGUGUGUUUAGUGGAGUGUUUGGGGAUGUAGUGGGUGCCCUUCUGAAAAAGCCGAGUUACCUCUUGGAGAUGAACUCAUUCUAGUGAAUUCUAGUUCUGGUGCAGUGUUCAUAAUUUGGUGUGCAUUGAAGCAUUUUCACUAGGAGAUUUGCAAAUGCAAGCAGCUGGCAAAUUUGUCAUUUUAUUGUUAAUAUGUAUACAUUUGAAUUUGGUCUACUUCUUGUAAAGGUGUUUGUAAAUGUUGUAAUUUGAGUUAAACUCAGAUACUGUUGUUUAGAAGAUCAUGCAGUACUAUAUUGAUGUUUGGUAUAUGUAUGAUGUAUCUUUGUGAUCUGUGUGAGUAUUCUUUUAUUCUUCAUUGAGCAGCAGUUGAGCUAUAGAUAAUUCAUUUAUUUGGAUUAAUAUUUUUUAACAAAUCUAUUAUUUUAUCCAGUUCUAACUUCUGACAGCCGUUAACAAUUUUAUUUUAAGUUUUUUGUUUACUGUUUUCCACAAUUAAGCAAAUAACAUUAUGUUUGGAACAAAUGGAUUAGGUACUAACUAGUUCUAAAUUAAUAAUAAUAGAAUGCAAAUGCUUAAAAAAUAUGGUAGGUGAGUCAUCUAUGAAUUGGCAAUUUGAAUUAGGUUGUAUGAAACUUCCAAGUCUCCUCCAGUAUUUGAUUAUUUCAGUAGAAGUAAACCUAACUUAGGUAAUUGCACAUUAAAAAGUGAUGGUAGCUGGAGCUGACGAGAGAAAUGGAGAUCAAGGAGCUUAUCUCCUUAAAUUUAAGUCAAAUUUGACAAGGACUAACAUUUAUCUGGAUGUGGUCAUGGGUCCUGGGCAAGGAAGAAGGUCCAUGUCCUAGGUUGGUGUCCUCCAUUGAGGGCACUCGUCUAAGAUAUCUCCAAAUGGAAUAGUUUACGUUCUAAUUUGUUGCGAGGGAAUACACAUUGGCACAUCCCAACUCCCGUCAAACUCUAUUUCCUUUUUCUUUUGGCCGAUGGGCUCGUGACAGCAAUAAGUUUGUCUAUAAUUUUACAAUCCUGCCAAUGAUGCGAAUUGUUAUUUUAAUUCAAAUAUAUGGUAACAAAAAUUGACAAAGCAGCUCAAAGCCUCCAAACCCAAUUAUACAAAAUCCCAAAAUAUGUAUGACCAAAAGUGACUAUCAAAAAAAAAAAAAACUUGCAAAAUAUUUAACAUAACAUGACACUAAAAAAAAAAAAACAAAAAAAAAACCAACGAUACAUAGUGACUGCACAAAGCAUUUGGAUUGAGCUGGCUGACUUUGCAAUUGAUGUAAAAGAUUUAUUGGCAAGAUCCCAGACAGUGGAACAACUCCUACAACAAUGGCCCAAGCACAAUACAAACAGUAUGGGAGCCAAACUCUGGUCUCUCCUCCCGCUAUGCUGUCAUCUGGAACCUGUGGCUGACCAGAAAUGAUUAUAUUUUCAGAAAUUGUGUGCCCACUCUGGAGAAAAUCUGCAUGAACACCAAGGCCACUCUCUGGUUCUGGUUGAGCGGCUCUGCAGUGUAUAAGACUACAACUUUGGUGACUUGCUGCUGCAUUGGGAAAUCCUACUUCUACCUUAGUUGUCAGUCUUUUGUCUUUGUACUGUUUCUCACUUUCACUUUGUGUACUUGUUCAGAGUUGUGAAUGUCUUGGGUGAAGUGGUGAACAGUGAACUUCUCGAUCACUCCGAAGUCUAAACAUUUCUGAAACUCUUGUGACCGACACAACGAUACAUAGUGACCGACACAACGAUACGAUACGUUACGCACAAUUAAAACCGACUUUUAAAAACAACUGCAAUUCUUUAACGAAUUCAUCCCGAUUUCACUCUAAACCCUCGAAACACAGAAAGAGAUGAGUUUAUCGUUAAUACAAAGCUACUCUUCAGCAGAAGAAGACGAAGAAGAAGAGAAGAAACUUCAAUUUUCUUCAAGUGAAGACGAAGAUAACGAAGAAGAAGAAGAACACUCAGAAAAUGAAAAAGAAUCUAUUCGAAAUCGUUCGAGAAUUGAAAACCCCUCAUUCACAAAUCCAUCGAAUGGUGGAUCUAUUCUUCCUUCUGCUCUUGAUGCAUUUUCUGAGGUAACAAUCUUUUGCCCUAAUUUAAACUUCAAAAGUCAAAACCACUUCAUUCCAGAAUUUAUUGAUAAUAAUUUAAUAUGUUUUUUUGGUUUUAUUCAAGGUUGCAGGACCUCCAGAGUUUCUCAAUAAUUGUGUUUCUGAGCCUGUUUUAGCUCAAGAUGUUGAACAUAGAGGAAGACGUGGUGGUAGACAUAGAAUUCCAAGAGACAAGAAAGAUUUACCAGCUGGUAAAUUAUUCAGAAACCCUCUCUUUAAUUUGAAUAUUAUUGUUUAAAUUCAUGUAAUCAAAAGCAACAUUGCACUUUUCAUAGGUUUUUCAUUUUUGCAAGCCAAUUGUGUGUUAAUGUUAUUGUCACCAGAUAUACAGUAUGAAUAAAAGAAGGAUUGAAAAGAUAUAUGAAACAACUGACGUUUUCUUUGAAUUGUGUGUCAAUCAUUCAUUGGAGUUCUUUAUAUUACUGAAAUUGAAACAAUGAAAAAUGUCCUAAUUGAUGAAUUAAAAGAAAUUCAGAAUUUAUCUUGAUAUGAACUGGAGCCUUUUGAGUGAGCUCAAUUUCGCUCUAAUGUUACUUGAAGAGUGAACUGGGGUAUCACUGUUAAUACUUAAUAUGAGAUAUCGAUUCACAUGGGUUCCAUGAAGUCAUACCCUUUUGUUUUGUUUUUCCCACAAAGGUUUUUCCAGCUGAGCUCAGCUUGCACCUGCAAAGAGUCGGACCAUAUAUGUCCUUCCAAUGAAAAAAAAAAUUGGAUCUCUUAUGUCACUCUAUUAAGCCUUGUGUGUGUGUGCGCGCACGUGCGUGAGUUAAGUAUCUCUGUCUGAUAGAAAAAAGGAAGACGAAUAGAUAAAGAGAAAUGGUAGUUCAUCAGAUAUAAGAGUGAUUCACUGGUAUCUUUGAUCAUACAAAUUAAAGGAACACUAUGCUACUGGAUUGAUGAUCUAAGAGAUAGCAAAGACUAUGUGUUUCAGGGUCUCAUUGCUAACUGGGAUGAGCUACUUAUUAGCUAAAGCUCAGUUUUUGUUGUUUACUUUCUGUUGCUGCACUAAGGCCUGGGUGAAGCACUUCUUCACCCAAGUUUUUGUACUCUUUUCUUUCAUAUCAAUAAUAAUUAUAUUUAUAAAAAUAACAAUAACCAUAAAUUCAUAAUCAUGAGGCUGCCUUGAUGUUACAAACUGUAGCCUGUACAUUGAUGGUUCUCUUAAUUCCACAAAUGUUGACUGACUUGAUGUAUUGAGUCAUUAAGUUAGAUGUUUAUUUCGUCGUGUAAUUAACCAGGAGUAGAAGAGUGAGUCUUUUGAAGUAUGAACAUCAAGGUGUUUACUUGUGAAUGAAACUAAUUUGUGAUCAGUGGGCCAAGGCACUUCUAAUUAUCCCACAAGUGAAUUUAAGCCUGAGUUUUUUAUUCUUCUAUCUCAUGCAAGCCCUAAAAUUCUGGAGCAUGAUUGUGACCAUGCGAAUUUAAUGAUCCAGAUAACAGAUGUGACACGGUCCAUGAGUCGACUUGAUUAUAGAUGUUAUUUUAUUUUAGAGAUUUUUGGACAUACCCCCCCAUUUGAAAGUCGAAAUUUGAGAUACCCCCCCAUUUGAAAGUCGAAAUUUGAGAUACCCCCCAUUUGAAAUUUUUUUUGAGAUACCCCCCAUUUCAAGACAGAAGAGCUUUACAGCCGUAGGUGAGUUUUAUGAUGGACGGCUAAGAUAACACCACAUCUUGAAUUGGGGGGGUAUCUCAAAUUUUUUUUCAAAUGGGGGGUAUCUCAAAUUUCGACUUUCAAAUGGGGGGUAUCUCAAAUUUCGACUUUCAAAUGGGGGGGUAUGUCCAAAAAUCUCUUUAUUUUAUUUUGGAGUCUAAUGUUGAUGUAAAGGUCCGCGUUAUGCACAUUGGUUUUGAUAUAAGUGGUUCCAGAAUUUCUUACUGCAGUUUCAAUGAAAUAAUUGCUUCAGGUGUUGUUGUGGAGGCCAAAGCGCAACUGGUUGGAAUCCGAGAGCGAGUAAGAAGUGAUGUUGAUGGAAACUGCCCUCCCGUACCAUCAGUUUCAUCUCAAAAAGGAUCAAUAAAUACAGGACCUGGAGAAGGCAAGCGUGUGGUUUCUGCAGCCAAUCCUGACGCUAAAGACGCUGCAGAGCUUCUGAGGUACUUGUGAUUCUUCAAAAUACAUCUGUAUUGAUGCUCAUUUUUACGAUAUAAUGCUUGUGUUAAAUUUUAACUUUCAAAGUUAGAUUAUGAUCUCUGUGUACAGUCCCAUGUUUUCUAAAAUCUCAUUAGGGUGGAUAGUGUGAGUGAUCCAAGGCAAGAUUCUUUUUAACUGGUUGCUGCUUCCUUUUAGGUUCCUUUAUGAUUUAUUUUAGUACGGGAUUUUCCUUCAAAGAAAGUUUAUGGAAAUUAUUUUCCUUAAAAUGAAAAUAUUAAUUGUUUUGAAGAUUCUUAUUACGCUUCUAGCAAUGUAUGUAUUUUGUAGAUAUUUUAGUGAUUUUGACAAAUGUUACAUUGAAAGUUUUUUAGGAUCUUAAUUUUGAACAAAAUAGUAAGCAAUAAUCGCGAGAAAACUUUAAAGUAGGCAUGUCCAAUCAGCUUUAGCAGGGUUGGUUCAAAACCAUCUUCUUCGUAUAUUGAAGCUUUUCAGAAUCGAUAUUUGUUGGCAUCAGUUAUUAUUAGUUUGUUUUGUGGUCCAAAACUUGUAGAGUCUGAAAUGAAAAGGAAUAUGUUGCAGGAUGUGUCUGCAGUGUGGAAUACCGAAGACCUUUUCAAAUGCACGGGGAAUGGUCUGUCCUGUAUGUGGAGAUCGUCCUCCAACAGAUCCAGAUAAAGAAUCUGAUAAGAAGAAGGGAUCCACCAUUAAAGACAAAGAGAAGAGUAAGAGGAUGAAGGGACAAUCAUCUCAUGCUUCUUGGAAGAGUGAAACAGAGAUGCAACUUCGGCAGCAAUUUGAUUAGUAGAAACAAAUGCAAAUGGUUUUAAACUUUGUGCCACAGAGGUGCGUAUCAUAUUGAUUUGACAUUGGCAGUGCAUUUUGUCUGUAACAUUGCAUAUGAUCAGGUAGUGUUAACUGUUAAGCACCUGUUACUAUCUCAUGUGCAGCUCCUUAAGGCUGGAAAUGAAUCUUUGUGAGAAACCUUACUCAGGUUGUAAACUGAUAGAAAACUUGACAUGUUUAAAUUCCUGGCGACCCUUUUUGGUUUCUCACUGAUCUACAACAGUUUGACCCUAGGCAAGGAAUGCAUACUAUAAUCGAUAUGAACUUAAUGAAAUUUGUAUCUAUUAAUAUGAAGCUGCAAAAUGAUUUGGUUUUGGUUGAGGACGACUCUGUGUUUAUCGGCUGGGAGUUUGGACUUUUGUUUGUUUAUGUAUCGCCACUUGUUGCAGGAAUCCUAUUGUUUUAUUUAUUUAUUUUUUAUUAUUGGCAAGCCUGUUUUUAACAAGAUCAGUAACUCAUAGAUGCACUGCCUUAAACUAAAGGAAUCCUAAUGUUUGUUCUUUGUGCAAGUUUUGUGGGCUUUAAAAGUCAAUUCAAGUUUUCAACAUGUCUUCAGCAGCUUGAUUUGCUUGCUCUAAACUUUAAUCAGAAAGUUUGACCUUUUACUGCAUGUUGGAAAAAUUGUGCCUAGACUCUAGAUCUUUCUAUUUUCUUUUUUGAUAAAAUGAGAAGUUUUAUUCAAUCUCAUCAAUUAAAGAAUACAGGCCUGAUCAGCAUGAUCCAACACUGUCAGGUUAAAAACAAAUAUCCCCAAAACAGACAACAGGUGAAAGUAAGAAAGAGAAUAAGAACAGCAGGAGGUGACUCCCCUGAAACCAGUCUUCUUCCUCUAGAACAGCAGGAGGUGACUCCCCUGAAAGUCAGUCUGCAACUCUUUUUUGCCCCCAACAAGUCUGGAAUUCUGUCAGUGUACCUGUAGUUGCUGAAGUGAGACCUGUUGCUAGUGAGAACACCUGAACCACCCUCAUUUUCAGCUUACACUCUUUGUCAGACCCCCUGAAAAUGCUUAACAUCAACUGCAAGAGAGUUACUAACUCAGAUUUCUGCCACUGUCCCUUCCCAGUCCAGCAAUAGCAUAAAAAGUGUUUGGAGAUUGAAAGGGUAAGUUCCCAAAAUUUCUUGAGAAUUCAUAGCACCAAUUGGUUGCACCUUGAUUAUAAAUAAAGUUGCAGGUGAUUAUUAAAAAAAUAAAAAACAAACCAACCUUUUAUAUGAAAGUAUGAAUCCUUGAUUUUGAGAGAGAGAGCCUUAACUUUCAGGGCUUUAUAGUUUAGUUCCAGACUGGACUUCUCUCGGCCCAUUUGAUAUUUUUUAUGAUUGAUUCCAAACAUACUUACAUUCUGACUGACGGUUGAGAUAUAAGAACAUCAAACUAAUCUGUCCACACAUGUAUACUCUAAAAAAUACCCAUUUAUUUCACACCUACGCACAUUUCUAGAAAUUUUCUUCUAUACACUAAAGGGCUAUAAAAACCUUUCAGAUCUCAUCAUCACAGCAAAAAUACUCACACACAUUUGCUACUCACCACAAACAGAUUAGAAAAGAUGGGUUUUAGAGUCAACCAUCUAUUCUUCUUCUUCCUUCUCUCUCUUAUCUCUUUCUCUAUGAUCGUUCAAUCAUCUGUAAGUAAUACUAACUAGUAACUAGUAUUAAACAUUAAUCAUUCUCAUCUUAUUCAAAAUCCCAUUUUUCUAAUUUUUUUUGUAUAAAUUAUGUAGGAUGAUUGUGUGUACACAGUGUACAUAAGGACUGGAUCGAUCUUUAAAGCUGGAACAGAUUCAAUCAUGAGCUUAACACUAUUCGAUUCAUAUGGAAAAUCUAUUGCAAUUCCAAAUCUCGAGACAUGGGGUGGGCUUAUGGGACCUGGUUACAAUUACUUUGAGAGAGGUAAUUUGGAUAUUUUUAGUGGAAGAGGUAAAUGUUUAGAUACACCAGUAUGUGCAAUUAACAUUACAUCUGAUGGAACGGGUCCUCACCAUGGGUGGUACUGUAACUAUAUUGAAGUUACUUCAACGGGUGCCCAUAUACCUUGUGCUCAGCAAUUGUUCACUAUUGAGCAAUGGAUAGCUACUGAUCAUUCACCUUAUGAACUUACUGCUAUUAGAAAUCUUUGCGCUGAACUCGAUUCCAAACCUAAAUCCCAUGUCCAAUUUAUGUAGAAGAGGCUAGGUAUACUGCAUUUUGUUUUCAUUAUGUUGUAUGAGAAACUAUAUCUGUAUUUGGUUCCGGUGAAUAAUAUUAUUACUAGUUCUAUAGUUUUUUCUAUGCGAAAUUAAUUGAUUUUGCCAUAUUACUAGUUCCAUAAUAAGAAAUGUGUAUCACAUUUAGGACUUAAUGGGGGUAGGAAUCGGUUGUUUAAGUUCAAUUAUGGUAUGAGGACUUGAGUGAGCUGUAUGGAAAACUUUGUUUUCAUAUCAAUGCAGUUGAAUGAGUCAUUGAGACUUGAGAGAUGGGAUAAGUUGGGUCUGGUUACAUAACCUAGUGGUGUAUACAAUAUGACAUGUGUUUCGUUAAUGUCCAUUUUGUUGUUGUAUAUUUAUGGGUAUUUUCAUAAAUGUCAAAUAUGUAAUGAGUAUGUACUAUAUAAUAAAGGCUUUGCCGACAAUCCCGACAUGGUCAUUGUGAAUUAGGUGGACUGAUGUGUUAGGAGGUUUUGGAAGCAUUGGUUGUCUUCGCUCACUUGCCAUAGUUUGCUCCUUUGCCCAAGAUGUACGUGUAAAUGUAAUCAGUAAAUGUAUGUUUAGACUUCUAUGAAAGUACUGGAUUGACAGAUUGUUUUAGUAAAAUUUAAUUAUCUGAAGUUUCACCCAAAAUAUUUUAACAAUACAAAGGUACUUAAGAAGAGUUCGAACUCUUCAAAAUGAAAUUAUCUAGACAAGACUUACAAGAUGUGUCAUGCACUCAUGCAUCCAAAAUGAAGAGUUCAAAUGAGAAUUUCAUGAAUGUUGUUCGCCUAAAAUUCUCAACAAAACCUAUUUCUCAGUAGUUCAUCUCAAGCAUGUUCUUGUCUGAACUCUGAACCUAGAGCUAGGAAGUAGGAAUCCAAAGAGAAAAGCAAGAAUGACCCUGAACUCUGCAACGUGAAAUGCAGCAUUAAAGCUGAAAAUGUCACUCCAGGCCUUCUGAUCAGUAACAAAACUACUGUACAAAGAAAUCUCAGAUCAGAAUGAAACUCCAGGCCUAUGAUUUAAGAAUCAAUACAAAAAUCAUUACAGAACAUCCAAUUAACAGUUUAUUUCUUGUUUAUUGAACUGUUAGAUCUAAUCUAAUAUGUAUAUCUUGGCGAUAGAACCAUUUUAAUUUAAUAGAGUUCUUGUCAUAUAGGUACUAACCUAUACCAAUAGUAAAUGAAAAUAAUAUUUCUGGCAAUGGUUUGGACUUGUGGUUGUGGGGAUUUCAUUUUGAUUUGAGGUUCAUGUUCAUCAUAUUUUUACAAUUUGAUACCUUGAUUUGAUGAUUGAAUAAGUGAUAUAUCGCGAUACGAUACGAUCAUGAUAGUAUAAACUGUAUUUGGCCAUUUGAGUUCUAGCAUCUUUUCUCAAUAUAAUAUAAUUAAUAUCUUACUGUGUGGUGCUUCUUCUUUAUCCAACAUUAUGAUUAAUUUGUUUUAUCUACUUUAAUUUUUGAAAAUAAAGCAUAGUCAUGAUCAUGAAACAUAAUUGUGGACUAAUAACCAUACUUUAGGUUAUUAUAUAGUUUAAUCUCAAUUCACUUCAGCCUGCAAGAGCAAAGAGAAAGCUGGAGACAGAACAAGGCUUUCUCUACAUCGGCAUGUGGCAGGAUUCCAUAGGCAAAAACAAAGGUGAAGAAAAAGAACCCAGAGUGAAAUACUGAAAUAGAAAGUAAAACGGAAAGGAAGCCCUUUAUUUCAAAAACAUUUCAAAACCCUAAACCAUUUUAGACUGAAAAAGCUAAAGGAAGUAGUGUAGGUGAUAUGAAGAACACAAUGAAAGCAAGAGAAGGCAAAAAAGCUCAUCCAGCAAAUUUUCAUGUAUGUUUUCCAUCUAAUCCUAAUCUAACACUUACUCCUAAGCCAUUUUGUAGCCCGGCACGGCCCACAGACACUGCAAUGCGCCAUCACCACCAUGGCCAUCACCAAUACCAUCACCCUUUAACCAGGUGUAACAACAGAGCUGGACAAGCCAGUCCUUCUUUAUGGCCUAAAACCAGGCCCAACAGCUUAGAGAUCACAGAACCUUCAUCACCAAAAGUAACCUGUGCUGGCCAGAUCAAGAUCAGGCCUAAGAAGAAGUCAAGCAAGAAGUGGCAAUCUGUGAUGGAGGAGAUUGAGAUAGUACACAACAACAAAAAUGACAACAAGAGUUCCAUAAAGAUUGAAAGCAGAUUUGGUUUAAAGAAAGAUAAGAGACACUUUUUAAAUAGUUUACGUUGUUUUGGUACAGUUAAGGAGUCUGAAUCUGAUGUCAUUACCUCAAUUGAUGAUGAAGAAGUGCAAGAACCACAAGUGAGGAGUAUAGAGGAUACAGUAAGUGGUUCUUCAAAAGCUGUUGUUUCAAAGUGGUUCAUGGUUUUGCAAGACGAUACUAACAAGAUUAGGGUGGCUAACGAAGAAGAAGAAAGAGUAGGGAGAGAUGGAUCUAGUGAUGAAUAUGGAUGCGAAUCUGUUGUUCCUCCUUCAGAUGCUCUUUUGUUAAUGCGUAGUAGAUCUGCGCCUACAAAGAAUUUCUUAGUGGACAAAGAAGAAGAAGAACAAGAAGAUAAGACAGGCAGCUUAAUCUUGAAGUGCUAUGGUCCUGCAGAUUUCUUGGAGGUAAAGUCUGAUCUUCCAAAUGAGAAUUGGCUUGUCAGUGGGAUGAAAGAUCCUUUGUCAAGGAGUAGACGUUGGAGAAGAUGCUAAGCAUGAUCAGCAUACAAUGCAUAAUAUAAUUAUGACAAUUUUAGAUGUUGAGACAAAAUUUCUUUUUUUUUUUUUUUUUCCUUUGAUUAUUAAUUUAUCAAUAGCGAGAUUAUAAUUUUCCUAGAAUUUUUUCUUCCUAACAUAAUGACUUUUUUGUGCACUAGGCUAAAAGAGUAUUUAGAGCAUGCAUCUUUCCAGGCCUUCUGUCUCCUUUUAUUGUUUGUGUAUCUGCAAUAUGUAUGUGUGUAGCUAUUUCAGACAUUCUCAUGAAGGUUUACUUCUCUUCCAAGACAAAUAUAAUCCCAUACAACUUUACAUCUGCAACCCUCUCACUGUGCACUUUGAGGCUCUUCUGCCUUCUGAACUUGUGUGUUCUCACUGGGCUUUGGUUCGCGACACUCGUGUCAUCGUGUGGACAAAUACAUGGUGGUUGGGAUAGAUUCACCAAUUCGUUGCCAGUUGCUCACUCUGGGUGGUUUGGAAAAUAAAACUUCUACUUCUUGUUGGAAGUUGUUUCGUUGUUCUUGGAUGGAAAGAGGAGUACCAAGGCUUGCACAUACGGUACUGUCACAAGUACUCUACUUGGGAAUGAGCUGCAUUGGGUUACAAUAGACACUUUUCCAUUGAGUAAAGGGGAUUGCUAUUACAUAUAUCGAAUAAAUAUUGAGACACUGCAAUUUAGAACGUACGACAAAGGUUCCACUACUCGUCCUCAAACCACACAACAUCUUUCAGUUAAAAUUCAAAAAAGUACUCCCCGUCUUAUUGAAGGUGAAAAAAGUAUCAUUGUGCCUCAUAAUUAUUUCCCCUUCCCCCCAUCAACUACAGAUGUUUGUUUUGGUGGACGAGUGCAAUUGGGAAAAUUUUCAUAAUCGCUCUUCACUCCUUGUUGAACCUACCUUCUUUAAAUAAUGGUUUAUUGUCGGACAAUACAUGCCUUAUUGCAAGGAGAGAGGUUGAUAGUACCUGCGACGUAUUCAACCUCCUGAAAAUUCCCGUGCAUCAUUAAGGUCAGUUGUGCUUAUAUGACUUGAUCAAGAGCUAGGAUUUGAGACCAAUCGGGUUUCUAAGGAAGGACCAGAUGCUGUGCCGAACAUAUUUAUAUCAUUUCAACAGCCUCAUCAGGUGGGAUUGAGAAUGUUAUUGCAUCAUAGAGCUAUAUAAGAACAUUUUGUACCUAGAAGAUUCUGCCAGUAGUUAAGGUCAUCUUGUAUAAGAAAUUUUGGAUACUUAAAUUUCUUCUGUUAAUUAGUUGGAUGUGACCUUUUGAUAUUAUUUAUACAUAUUUCAUGCAUAGUUCAUGCUAUGUGAAGUGAUUUCCAGCACCUAUGUACAGUAUGUGAUUUUGUGUGAAACUGUGAAGUGUGAACCAUAAUAGUUGUCCCACAUCGGAACAGUAUGAAUGUAGGCCUUUUCAGGUAUGGUAUCACCAAGAAGGCCCAGUUUUACUUGGGCUCAAUGAUAGACUUUAAGGCCCGUUUGAACUUUUGGGCUUUACUCUACUUAAAUACCAUUUUGCUUUGGAAAAAUGGUAUGGAAAAUUUAAACCCUCCAACUUGACCAAUUCUGGUGGUCAUUUGUGAACUUUCUGGCUGCUGAAAACUAACAACAGCCACAGCAUGAGAGCAAUAGUAUCAUGAACUGAUGAAGUCAUCUGCUUGAAUAUCCUAUUGAGUGUUGCUCUCUGUCAUUAUUUAAUCUAAUCAUCUGUCAUGAUUGACCUUGCUUAAUUAAGAUCAUUUUAAUCAAACCGACCUUGCAUUCAUCAUCAUUAGUUAGUAAGCCUUAUUCCUACCAACUCCACUGUCGUCAAUCGAAACAAAAUAACACAAAAAAAAUUUGGCCAGUGUAUCAUAUUUUAGGAUUCAUAUCCCUCAUGUCAAACAAUAAAUAAAACACAAUACAAAAUUAUAUCACGCACUUCACUCUGAUGAUUUGUCAAAUACUAUACUAUAGACUUGAGGGCAUUUUACAUAUUUUUAUUCUCGUAGAAUCGGUUCUUCCGGCCGUGGAAUAAAAUUGAAAUCUUUAACCCUCAGUGAAACAUUACUAUCAGGCUUUAAGAAACUUAAGCUCAGUUCCUUGACUGAUUCGAUCAAUGACUUUUGAUAUGAUAGUUUAAACUGCGACCUAAACAAGAAAAGGGUAGCUUAAUUGUCAUUUUCUGAAAACAUAAACUUCUCAGAUUAAUCAAACCUUUUUCGAUUCCAUCUACUUAUAACUCAUUGCUUUGAGAAAACUUUUCUUCAUCAGUUGGCAGAGUAAUCAAUGGGUGAAGGUUGAUCAAGCUCGUUGCAAACAUUCGCCACUUGUUCUACCAUGAUAUGUAGUAAUUUUUUUUUUUUUUUUUUUUUUUUUUUUUAAAUUCAAAUUUUAUUGAUAAGCUCAACGAAUUAUACAAAAGUAGAGGACAAACGCACUACAAACUGCGCGACAAGUCCUUUCUUAUUAGAAGUCGAAACACGUACUCAAAUUCUAAUGCAGUUCUCUAUACCAAUGGAUCUUAAAAAUUCUGGAAAAUGGGGAGAUGAAGAAGAAUAUUUAUAUAAGAUCAUCUAUAUACUGUGUCAUGUUGCUUAUCAAUAAAGACAGACUGACAGACUUAUAUAGGACAAGUAGUGUACAUUGGAGUUCUUGGUUCAUUUCAUGAUAAGGAAGUAAGGAACGGUAUUCCGUUUAUCCCUCCACAUGUACGUAUUGGGUAGGUGACGUCACAAAGUGCCGGAAACUGAUAUCACCCACGUCAGCACCGAAUUUCAUGUUCGUAAUGUUGUGUUCGUCUCGCUGUGUUUUUAACUGGACUUGGGCCUCCAAUAAAGCCGGGCCCAAAGUUUUAUCUUCUGGACUUUCCCUUGUCAGUAUCUCGUAGUCUUGUAUUGAAGCUUCCCAUCUUUCCAUCUAAUAUACACAAUCAAGGUAAAAUCAUUAUCAAUUACAAAUUUAAUUAAUAAGUAAAUCGAGUUUUUCGAAAUGUUAGUUUUAUUGUUUAGGUUGAUUAAUUUAUCUGAAUGCAAUAUGCAUUCGAUUCCAAAUUAUAAUAUCAAUUUUUUGGCGAUUUUUGUGAACCAAUGGAAAUGACUAAAGAUGUCCUAAAGAAAGCAAUUAGUCACCUUGGCAUUACAUUCAGCUCUCCUUAGUCUAGCUUUGCUGUAAGACGGGCGUAAAUGAAGGACACCAGUACAAUCUUCCAUAGCUUUCUCAUAUUGACCCAGUUUAAAUCUACAUGUUGCUCGGUUACAUAGCAACACUGAGUUAAAUGGUUCAUGCUCAAGUCCUUCACUAUAUGCCACACUUGCCUGUGUAAACUUGGAAGCGUUAAAGAGCUUAUUGCCAGCCGAUCGAGCAGAUGACACAGCUCGAAUUAUUCUCACUGCAGAACUUACUUCCUUGUUGCUUGAGUCGAGUCUAAGUGCUUGUUGAGCUGCCACCACUCCCUCAUCAAACCUGUCAGAACAUUUUUCAGUGUCCAAAAACACAACAUGUCAACAUCUUUGUGUUGGUAAAAAUUUGUUGAGUAAAAGUGAUUAUUCUUCAUUAUUCAGAAAAAAGAUAAAUUUUAGAUAUCUAUAGGAUCUUUGAUUAUUACAUGUUUGAAGAUCCUAUAUUCUUUGACUAAUUCAUUAUUCUUAGUCGCUUAGUUAUAAUUUUAAUUACUUUCUCGCUUAAUUAUAAAAUUAAUCACAUUUCAAUUUUUAUAAUGUAGUGGCGAUUGUGUCAUUGGUGACUAUCUAAACACUAUUCUUAAUAGUUAAUACUAACCUGCCGGCAGCCAUAUCAACCUGUGCCUGUAUCAAUAGUAGUUGAGCAUUUCUAGUGGGACCAAAGAAUUUUGUACAAUCAUUGAUGUCCAAAGUCGGUUUUUUCUUUAAUGCACUGUCAGCAUCUUGAUGCCGAUGAAGUUUCAAUAGAGCUUCAGCUUGCAAUGAAAUGAUCUGAGUUUUACAGAAGCAAAGAAUUUCAAUUGGUACUAGCACACAAUUUCAGAUACGUGAGGACUUAAUAAGAGUUGCUAAUUCACCUGUGGAGCAGAAUCUGCACCCAAUGAUAUUGCACACUCAGUUUCUUUUAACAUUGUGUUCCAGUCUCUUAGCUUUUUUGCCUCAAUGCAAUUGCUGAUAUGGGUUUGAAGAACUUGAGCUUUCGAAAUCUCAGAAGAUUUGACUUGGAAUAUUCCUGAUUGUUUGAAGUGAGAUAAGGCGUUCUCGGCUUCACCUAAUCUGAUACAGAAUUAUGAAACAUGCACAAGGACUAUAAUUCUUGCCUUCUUGGUUUAUUUUGGGAGCUAGAUAUGUUAUAGGUAGAUGAACAGAAGUAUAUGCAAUACCUGAUAUACAAUGUUGCUAAGCGAUGAUGAGCUCUUCGAUAAAAAGGAUCAAUCCGAAUGGCUUCUCUGCAUUCAAACACUGCUUCAAGUAACCUACCUAGACCUAUUAAUGCUGCACUCUUGUUGCUUCUAUAGGAUGCAUUAUCAUUGUUGAGAGAUAUAGCUCGAUCAUACAAAGUCAAGGCCACCGCAAAUCUUCCCUUCUUGUACUCCACAUUGCCCAUCACCUUCAAUGCAUCAGGAUCUAGUUUAUAUAGAUUUCUGCUCACUAUGUUGCCCAUUACACUAGUAUUAAUACUUAUACUUUUGACACCAUGAACUAUACUAGAAUUUGAAUUCUCUACUGCAUGUUGCCUUCUGCUUCCUAAUUGACUGUAAGGCAUGAUAUUGCCAGAAGAUGUUUUAAGAAGAGCAUUAUGCUCUUUUGAUCGGUCAAUUACCACGCUGUCAAACUCCUCAGAAAUACUACCUCCUCUGGAUAGCCUCCUUUGAAUCAGGCCUGCUGGGGUUGACGUGACCUUUGAAUUUGUGUUGGAACCAUUUGACGACGAAGAAGAAGUACUAGUAGUAAUAGUUCCAUUCGAAGGUUUUCGUUGAUGGGGGGUCAUGGUUUUGGAAUAAUUAACCAAAGUACUCUUUGCAAUGGGCUUCUCUAAGAGCUUUGAAGGAUGCUCAGGUGAAUUGGAGGUGACAUCAAGCAAGGCAGCCACUUCAGAACCACCUCUCCUAAGCUUUAAAUUGGCUAUGCAGCCGGUAAUCUUGUGGAGGGGGAUUGAGCUUGUUGAGACUGUUCUUCUAGGCCGGAUUCCACGUCGACCAAAAACUCCAUUGUAUAAGACUUGAAUACCACAACCUGAUGACUUCUUUUGAGGUGUAACUAUUUUGGUAUCCAUGGUGGUUCUCUCUUUUCUCUUCCUUCUUUCUGUUGGAAGAACUACAGCACUGGUGCUUUAAACUAGAAAAAGAAGAGCAUGGGAAUAAUAAGCAGAAAUGGUCUUUGAGUUUUAAAUACCAUUCGAGAUUUUGGAAUCAAGGUGAGAACUACAAGUCGAAAACAAGAAAACUAUAUUUAAGCUAAGUAGCUAGAAAUGAAAAAAAAAAAAAAAAAAGAGUUGAGAUUGCUUGAAUUAGAAGAUGUGUAUGUAGCGCAUGUAUCCAGGCCAACCACAGAAGGAUGUGUUUAUUUUUUAUCUCACAAAACUCCUGGAGUGGCUACCAAGAAACCAAACUCCCUUUCUUUCUCUCUUUGAGGACUUUGAUUAGUCUUCUUUAUUCUUGACUUCAAUGAGACGAGAUAAGGAACAGAAAGAAAAAAGUUCAAAGAUUAAAAAAAUUAAAAUGAGGGAAAACAAAGACAGUGUGGGGGCACUGAGACAAUUCUAGAGAAAUGUUUUAUGAUUUACCCCUUCCAAUUGCUGCAUGUAUACAACUCACAUGUCAUGUAUCACACCAAAUGCUGCAUGAAAUGUCUCAAUGACUAGCAAUAAGCAGAUCGUCGCAUGGUGCAACUCUUUAGCAGAGCACCAUUGCAACAGUCUUUAUAUCAGUUUGGUUCCUUUGCCACAUUAUGAAUGUGGUGGUGGGGAGGUUUGGGGAGGAAAGGGAGGAAAAACAGAUAUCAGGUGUGGGGUAAAAGGAAUUUUAUUUUUGGAACUAUAGAGUAUUUUAGAAUAUAAGAAAUCUACAAAGGGAGACAUCUCAAACUCAUCACUACAUGAUGAUGCCUCAUUUGAGGGUUGGUAGUGCACUUAGUUGUGAAGUUGAUUUGUUUAAUUAGAAGAUGUGGUGAGAGGCUGAGAGCUAGUCACGUAUGAUUUCGAUCACCCUGCACGUAAUUGACUUCCAGCUCUAUAAUGCCCUUUACACUAUUUCUCUUACUUCUCAUCCAUGUUCACUUUGUGGCUUUUUUUUUUUUUUUUUUCUUUUCUGUUUUGAUUUUCUCAUCAAUUAGAAAAUCGAAAUCUGUUACUUAAGUCAGCAUUGCCAAUCAUUUAUAUAAAAUAAAUCUAAUCAUUUCUAAGAUGUUAUAUGGUAAAUACGAUCAUAUCAACUAUUUGUUUGACAUAGACCUUUAGAAUAUUUGAUUGACCAAGAAGAGAAUGUGUACACAUGCGAUUCCUUGGGAGAGAGCCAAACAUUCUAUUGAUUCGUUUUUGUAUUAGAGGUAAUUAAUGUGUUAUUCUUAUUUUACAGGUAAUUGUUCUCAUUUUGUUCUAGUGUUGGAUAAGAUAAAGAUGUUGAGUGAAAUGUGAAUUUUGUAAAGCUACUUUAAUAUGAAGCAUAUAACAAAUCUUACACCAAAAUGAGUUUGUUUUAUAAUUGAAAUAGAUUGUUGAUCCAAAAAAAUCUGGUUUUGUGUGAUAAAUUGGCAACUACGCACUAAAAUAAUGGAAACCAAGAAAUUUAGCUGAUAUAAUUCUAAUUGGUAAAGAAGGAUGAAGUAGUAAGCAAAGUGAACCCUCUAUUAGCUAGAAAAAGAGAGAAAAUUCACUACAUGAAUAUAGAGCCCUCAAGAAAAAUCAAUCCAGGCUAAAAGCCUAAAGAGGAGUCAAAAUCAUGUGUGUGUUAAAAGGAGGUAAAGCUUAUUCUGAUCACUUUAAUCCAACAAUACUUGUUAGCAAUUUGAACACAUUACAAAAGAAAAACGUUUGUGCAUAUUACGGAAGCAUUCAUAAAUCUUAACAGGCAAGAUCGAAAAGGGAAGUGAUACGCAACGAGGGCAAUAAGAGUAGCUUGUGCCUUUUUACAUGAAGUGGCACAUUCCUCACAUGAUCCUAACUCCCAAGACUUGAAAUUCACUCCACUUUUCAAAGCAGCAAGUAGGUAGGUAGUUCGGGAAGCCAUGUUCAAUACAAUACCUUAUGCUCCAAGCUUCUCUUUUAUAUUGGACAAUGCUAACAUCACAUUCACACAUUGCUACAGUAUUGCACUUGUUAUGAAGCCACUAAAUGAUCUUAACUGAUACAUUAGAGGAUAUUUAGGGAUGAGCAAAGUAUUCUUUACAUUAUGAUUGGUCCAUGAAAGUCGCACAUCCCAAUAUCUAUUUGAAUGUAGUAUAUGAUUAUACUUCCUAUAAGCUUAAAACAUACUAUCAAAUAACACAAUCCUUACAACAACAAAAAAAAAAUAACACAAUCCUGAAAAUUGGUCAUUAUAGACAUCAAAAUGUAAUACAAAAACAAGAUGGUCUUCCAUUUGGCUUGUCAGACCAAAAAAUGUGUUUGAAUGAAAAGCUCACGUGACUGAGACUCAGUGAGCACUAAACUAAGAAUUUUUGCUUCCAGGUGGAAGGAAAAAGCUGUGACGUUAGUUCAUUCCACUGUCUACAAUCUCUUCCGUCUUAUGACCUAUCCUGAAAAUCCCUCUACUAAUGAUUUGAGUUAGAUACACCAGUACAUUAAAUCUCAAUCCAAAUACAUACAUAAGAUAUCCAGUUCAGAAGAUAUACACCAUACAUACAUAGACGUUGUCGUAUAAUCAGCUCCAGUAUAGAUGAAGAUUCAGGAUAUUCAAAGCGAGAAAUCAUGUCAUAUAUUUUAUAAUGACUGAUCUGAAUAUAAAAAAUUGUCUUCAAGUGAGACGGUUGGGACUUGGAUCCAUAUAUUCUUCUUCCUCUUGUAUAAAUAAAAUUAUAAGAGAAGUAAAACGAUAAAUGGAAACAGGUAUAAUAACACGUUUUUUGUUUCUUGCAAUUAAUUGGGAAUGCUGUGGCCAUCAUAUAGUAGUCAAUAACAGUCCAGGGAAUGACAAAAAAGCGAAAACAUGAAGAGAUGACAAGAGACUUCAACUUAUAGGGGUAGCAAAUAUUUACCCGAAAUUAAAAAUAUCCGAAGGGGAGUUAAAUUUAGUUCAAGAAGAAAGACUGCAGCACUAAAUUUCUUCAUAAAAAAAUUAAUAGCAACCAUUUCCUAAGCAAUGGAAACAACUUUAGGUUUCAAAAGUAAAUGUUCCUUACCUGAUAAGAGAAACAUCAAUACGACACUGAAAGCAUUCAUUCAGACUUUUUGCUCAUCUCUGUUAGUAUUUCUUUGGACAGCUGCUCUGCAUUAUACUCUACCCCAAAGCACCUUACUAUUUCCAUUUUUGGAUCCAACAAGUACCUGUUUGUUUUCAUGGAAUCAGUAACCACAUUGAUUGAUAAAAGAAACAGAGCUUUGCUUUGUAAUAUUUGUAUAAAGCUAAAAAAACAGUUGAUCUUACAUUUUGUGGGAUGAGUCAAUAAGAUAAUCAUUCCCAUCUUCUUCAAUCUUCUUGAAAUAAACACGAUACUCGUGAGCUAUCUGUCUCGUAGCAGAAACAGGUCCCGUCAACCCAAUUAUCCUGUGGUCGAAUUCUGCAUUGUGAAUAGAAAUUGGGUUGAGAUACUUUUGCAGUAAAACCUCUAGUAGAAAUUGCAGAUGAGACUAAAGACUAACCUUUGAGGUAAGCACGAAGUUGUGAUGGGGUAUCUCGUUGAGGAUCAAGUGUAACGAAAACUGGAACUACAGUCUCUUUCUGUUUGGAAUCUUCUUCCAGUUCAAAAGAAAAACAAAAUAGUAAUGGUAAGUAAAACAGGAUAACUAGAAAAGAAUGGAAGAGGAAAACUUAAAAAUGCAAAUAUGCAAUUGCGCCAAACCUAAUAUGUUGAGGACUUUGGCCAUUUUUUCAACUUCCUCGGGUCCAACGUCAGGUGAAGAAGUAUAUCCAAAGUAAAGAAGUACCCACUUCCCCAAAAGGUCGCGUUCUGUAACCAAACGACGCUCAGUAUCAAACAGAUUGAAAGGUCCUCCAAUCAUGGGUCCAGAUAUGGUUUUGUUUGCAUGCUGGGAACCUUGUCCUGAUCAAUAAAAAAAAAGCCAUUAGCCUACUUCGCAAAGAACAACACUUCCAAUAACAUGAUAUAUUCAUCUAUAAUGACUAUAUUGCUCAGAAGAAUAAAGACGGAAAAAUGUUAGCCUUGAGAAAAAUAUUGACUAAUAGAUAAUUUUGUUAAAAGUUUCAAGUUGAUAGCUAUAGAACCUAUCAUUCUAAUGCACAACCAACCAUCAUACCUCUCCUCUAGCAAGCACAGGACACACUCAUGCAGCAUGAGUCAUGCUGUCACAUGCCUGCCUUGUAGUUUCAGAAAUUAUCUAGUCAAAUAGUCAAUGACUCAAUGCUAUGCUAGUGGUCAGGUCCUCCAUUAUCAAACUUCCAGAUUGUUUGUCAGUUUGGUUCAUGAAUAACGGGAGCAUAACAAGGAAAUAUCACGUUCUGGAAGUUGGUCGUGGGACUUCUCAUUUCAAACCAAAGCUGCGAUAAGGAUAAUUCUUGAAAGUAGAAUAGGCUUAAGUGUUUUGACAGGCCAGUUCUCUCAUCCAGGCCAAUUUCUAUAUGAUCAAUCCUUAGUGUUUGUCACCGUUCAUAUUGCUCAUUUUCUCUUUCCAUCCCCACAUAAUAAAAAAAGGUUAUAAAAGAUAUUACCCAGGUAGAAUAAAGAAAUAUACGUAAACUAAUGGAGUCAGGUAAGGCAAAAGAAUCAAAGAGAAACAACAUAUUUUUCAGAUUUUUGUGUCAAUUGAAUUCAUGGAAAGACAACCUUGUAAAACUGAUCUCCUCUCAUCAUUCUUAUGAACAACAACUGCGCCAGUUCCAGCAAACAAUAGUAAACCUGCAGGCUGCAAAUGUGUUACUAUAAGAACCCGAACAAACUCCAGUGUAAGAAAGUUAUACACAAAAUCUGUGUUAAACUACUUAAAAAGAAGAUAGAAUCUUUCGGUUAUUUUUUUGGUUGACAUGGCAAUCCAGGACUUUUCGGAAGAGGUGCUUACUGAAGUGAAAAAGUUCAAUACUAUGCUCAUUGCUCUUCUUCAAUAUGAACAGUAAUAAAUUGUAAUUGAAGAGUUUAUGCCACAUACCACUAAAAAUGAAAACCAUGAACUAGACUUGACAUCUGACGGUUUCCUGUAAAGUGGAUGUUGAUGAUUUAACUUUUCCUUGUUGUAUUUUGGCCCGUUGCUGUAGUUACGCGACUGGAAUCUUCUACAAGAACCUAACCUACAAUGAGAGCACACAGGUCAAGAUGAGAAGACACAAUGCAAGCAUGACUGUUCUACAAUAUAAAGCUAUACAUGCAUCGCACUGAAAAAAAAGAAAAGAAUGCAUCACUGUUUGAUAGAAACUGUAGUACAAUCAGUCAAACUAUUGUACUGAAAUAACGCAAGUAAAAAUAAUAAAAUAUGAUUCCAAGUAAAAGUCUAAGCUUUUUAGAAGUGUUCGAAAAUUAUUUCAUCUAAUCAACACUUCAACAGAAAGAAAUAAAAAGGCUCAUAAGAACAUUUAAUUCCACAGAAAGUAUUAACUGAACAAAUGGACCUGGAAUGCACUAAAGGGAUACUGGGGUAGCAAGCACCACAAUAGGCUCAUAAAUUGGAAAUGGCCAAGAGCAUAAGUGACUCCUUCGCCUCUGGGUUUCCAAACUGAGGGUUUAUUCAUCCGUAUAAACUUCUAAAUCCAAAUAAGGUUCUUGACAGUGAUAGAAAUGUUCAACCACAUAACAUUAACUCUUUUAAUUAAACUCCAACAUACUAGGAAUUUAUUUAUAUACCGGGAAACCAUUCACCCAUUGUCUUGUUGUAUUUAAACCUAUCAAAAUAAGUUUACAGGAUCUGAAAAAUGCAUAAACUCACUUCAAGUUAAGCAAACGAGUUUUCCAAAAAGCUGAAUUCCAAUUAUUUCACAGAAUCUACAUACUGUACAAAAACAACAAAAACUCAAUGACCCCAAAAGACCAAUGUCGUCCGGUUAAUGAUCUGCUAAAUUUAAAACCCGAAAAUCCUCAACAGAUCAAGCCUAUCUAUACUCAGUUUUGACUACCGCGACAGCGACCACCUAAAAAAGCUGUAACAACCACCAAUCAAAAUCCCUAAAAUCCUAUGUCUUCAAGUGAACUUCAUCAAUAUGUUUUUGAAAACCACUCUACUUCCUCCCAAAAGUUGCACUCAAUUAGUAAUGAUUUCAUAAUAUCCAUAUUUUAAGAACUUGUUUCAUUAAGUUUGCUUGUAAGUCAUCAACCCAAGAUUUUUUGAGAAAACUCAAUGUAGGUAAUCAAUUAUCAUACCCAGUUAAGAGUUCAUAAUGAGCUGAAUAGAGCUAAUAUAAAUCCGAACAAAACAAACCAAGAACUAUAAAUUCAUCACAAACUUCAAAUUACUAAUGAUUUCAUAAUAUCCCAAUCUCAAGCACUUGUUUCGCUAGAAAACCAAAUCAAUCUAAUGUAGCUAAUCAUACCAGUUAAGAGUUCAUAAGAGAGAGCUGAAUAGAGCUCAAUAUAAGCUAAUAUAAAUCAGAACAAAAUAAACCAACAACUAUAAAUUCAUCACGAUCUUCAAAUUACUAAACAAAACCAAUCCAGCAAACUCAACUAAUGAGAAAAAGGAAAUCCAUGCGAACAAAGCGAUCGAUACGCAAAAGAAAUCCAAGAAAACAAACAAACAAACCCUAGAAUUAAACAAUAUGUAAUUAAUUGCACCCAAGCAGGUAAACUUACCCUUUCUGAAGAUUAACAAAAGCUCUUGCACGAUUCAGAAUGGAAAAAGCAGCAAAACGAGACAUAAUCAAGAAUUCGGAAUCUCAAAAGUCGAUCAAUGGAGCGAAAUCUCUACUUUGAAACAAGUUUUUGGAGAAUUUUGGCGGCAUUUGAAGUCUUUUUGAGAGAAAGAAAGGGUUUAAAGAGAAGAAUUCAGACAGAACAAGAGGUACUUGCGAGCCAAUUCAAGCGGUUUUCUUGAGCUACAAGUCUAGUCAACGAAAGUCAAAGAUGAAAGAACAACGGGGAUUUAAGACCGGGCUGGGCCGGGCCAUGUCAGUUAGAAAUAGAACAGAAAAUGUUGAGAUUCAAGUCCACGGACUUUAUUUGCUAAAAACCAGCUUAUUAAGGGAUCUAAUAAGUAAUAAGGGCCAUGUCGUAGACGCUAUACCAAAAACAAUAUCAAUGUCACAACCAGUAAUUUAGGCUAUUUGCUUAUUUAAAGAAUUAUUAUUUUUUAUUUUUUUUAUAGAAUUUUUUUAUUUUAUUGAUAAGUUCAACGAAUUACACAAAGUAGAAGACAAACGCGCUACAAACUGCGCGACAAGCGGGGUUGAGGGACCAAUACUCUUAAAUUAAGUGUGAAAAUUUACGUCAACAAUAUGUUGUUGUUGACGUGUUUCAAACCCACAACCUCUCCGGGUUUUUUAAUAGGGGUAUUACCAUUUAGCCACAAGCUCAUUCACCAGUGUUGAUCAUACUUAUUUAGUGAUGGACUGAAAAAAGAAAUAUUCUAGAGGAAAAAAAAAAACUGAAAAUAUAAGUGGGAAAAAAUGCUUCUUUGUUUUUUUUUUUUUUGAAAAAAAUGGUUGUGUAGUGUGUACUUGAAUGGAAGGAACCCAAGACGCCAAAUAUUUGAGUUUCUAGAAACCAAGGCCAAACAGGACAAAGUGAGACUGCUCACUGUCACACGCUUCAAGAAUCAAGAUCUCAGUAUCUUUGAAUUUUCAAUCAUACAGAGUACGUAUAGUAGCCAAUAAGACUCGUAACAAAAACGACUUAAGAAAAUUUAGAAAGAGUCCUCAGUCCUCAGUCCUCAGUCCUCAGUCCGCUAGCUGUCCAAGUUAUGGGCUAUUUCGGAAACAAUUGGCACCUUCACGGAAAUUCACCAAACGCUGAAACAAGACGUGCCAUUGAAGAAUCCCUCGAGCCUCAACUACCAGUUCCUCUCUUUUGACCAUACUUCAACACGUAAAUGUUAACUGUCAUCCACUAGACCCCUAAUACUUUCACCAUUAAGUCAGAAUCUAAUUCCCAUCUACAUAUAUAAAGGAUACAUUACAAACCUUUUCAUCAAACACAAGCAAAGUUUGACAAUCAUCAGUAUGAAAAUGGGGAAGAAGAAAUGGUCUUUGAAGAAGAUAAGUAAAGAGGUAUGGCCAAGGCGAUGGAGGUUAUUCAGCAGCUAUGGUGGGUUUAAGUGGAAAAGACUUGAUUUUAAGAAAUCCUUCUUGGAUAACUUCAUCUUUGGGAUAAUUUCUGUUUUUGAAGCUAUUGUUUUAGUAGCAACUGUAGGUUUCUUUUAUUGUUUUUGCGGUUGCAAUUUUUAGUUUUGUACAUACAUACUUCAAUCCAAUAUCGAUCAGUUCUUUGAUAAUCUUGUUAGUCUCGUUGUUGUUGUUCAUAAAAAGAAAUUCAAGGUUCCUGCAGUGCGGAGAAAUAAGAGUGGAAUGAACAACCAUAGGGUAAUGUAGAAUGGUUUUGGAUUUAAUCCAUUUUGUUUAGGUACCCGUACCAGUUCUCGACUUCUUUCUGCAACAUAAUUUAUCCAGAUUUUAUGCAUUUUUAUUUUAUUUACACUAGCCAGCCAGCCAGCCAUUAUACAGUAUGUAGUUCAAUUCAACCAGCUGACAUAUAUAAGCAAAGAAGAAGAAAGAAAAUGACAUACCUCAUACAAGCAUCCAAAAAGUUGCGAACUUGUAAUAUUAUGAAGACCUUUUAAGAACGUCUCCAAAAAGCACUCACUUCUCACUCAUCAAAGAAUACAUUCCUGAACAGCGUGCUAGAAAAACCACUGUCAGGUUAGCCCAAGACCCUCUACGGCUUUACAACAUAACAAGUACAGACUAGACUCAACGGACAACCAGAUCCGCAAUUCUGCAGAUCUGCCUGCCCUCCCUUUCCUGUUAUUAUCUUGUUCAGAGCUUGCCAGUCCCUCCUCCUCUGCAUAACCAGCGACUGACAGUGUGUAUUAAUGCUGCUUCUCAUGUGCUUUUGCCAAUGGUGGCACUUACCAGAGACAGAAGGCUUUCUACGGAAAAACUUCCAUACCAAGGAGCAAAGAGCUUCACUGAUAGGAGAAUAUAAUAAGUGAUUUCUUUUUUCCUACAUCCUAAAGAGAUGACACAAUGGUAAAAUCCACUAAGAAGAGUUCAGCCAUUAAGGAGGUUUUCCCAAGUACCCACAAGGACGUAUUUCUAUGUUUUACAUUCUGAUCAAAUAUUACCUCAGGUUGAUCAAAAGUAGCAUAUUGAGGUAGAAAGAUCCAUAUAAUAAGCCAUUAAGCCUCAACAUUCUGCCUGGAUGGCACCAUUGCUCAUUAUAUAGAUUAUAGACCACCAUUCUCAAUUUAAACUAAAUGAGUUUAAACACUGUAAAUAAUGAACGUCAAUUUUCUUCUUAUUAUUGGAAAGCUAGGGUUUUAAUUUUGAUUAUACAAAAAAUCAUAAAAUUACAAUCUGCCCCCAUUUAAGACAAUGGAAUUUUAAUAAAAUUCCAAUCUAACAAAAUAGGGGUAAAUUAAAAUUUUACAAUUUUAGUAAAAUCAUAUAAAACAAAAAUUAAAAACCUAAUUCUCCCGAGAUAAAAAAAAAGAUGGCGGUUCAUUCCCUAUAUUGUUUUAGCUUUUCAAUGAUUUUUACUACUAAAAUAAAAAUGAUGUUAAUAAAUGAUAUGAUAAUAUAAGGACAGUUUGAAUAUUAUCUCAAAGUUGAAGUAUUUUAACUGCACAGUGCUCAUAACAAAAUAAAAUAUACAUGGAGAACUCCAGGGAAAAAAAAACGGACCCAAUUAAGGUGUGGAAAUAUAAGAUUGGACCAGUUAGGGAACUAAUGGUAAAAUAGGCCCAACCGCUGAUUUCCGUGUCUUAUGGACUAGUUUACCCUUCGACUGAUGCAAAGACUUGUUUGCAUAUCAUAAACAUAUAAACAUACUUAUUUAUAUCAGUCACAAUACAAAUAUAAAAUGCAAAGACUUGUUUGCAUACUUGCAAACAACAACAUAAACCAUAAAAUGUAAAUGCAAAGAAUUGUUUGCAUACUCGAAACGACGACAAGAUAAACUAGAAAAUGUAAAGACUUGUUUGCAUCAGUGAUAACACAUAAAGAUUAAAUGCAAAAACUUGUUUGCAUACUCGAAACAAUGACAUACCAUAAAAUGCAAACAUUUGUUUGCAUAAACCAGAAGGAUAUUAUCGGUAGUGAAAGGGUCGUUUUUACAAUAUCGACGUUAAAUGGGUCUUUUUUUAUUUUACAAAUGCUUAAUGAGGGCCAAUUUUACAAACCGGGCCUUAGUUGGGCCAAUUGUGUUUUAUAGGUGCUUAAUGAGAGCCUAGAACCAUUUCCAUGUGGCCCACUCUUGUAUUUCUGAUACCAACUAUUCCAAUUAUUCUCUAAAACCCAAGAACAAUACAGUAUAACAAAUAAAUGAUAUCUUUUUUGUCUUUGAAAAAAAAAAGGUUUUAAUUUUAAUUGGUUUUAUUGAACUCCCAAAAUUACAAACUGCCAUAGUCAUCGAAUUAUGAGUCAUGACAACCACUAAUAAUGAUCAAAUUAUAAUUUUAAUAAAAUAAUUUUACUAAAUUUUAUUUAGAACUUCAAUAAAACCAAUUAAAAUUAAAAUUCUACUUUUUAAAAAAAACAAAAAAAACAUUCAUUCACAACACACUGCAUUAGGUUUUGAAUCAAUUUAAAAUAAUGAGAAUGGGUGGUAUCGGAAAUACAAAAGUUAUUUGCGUAUUUUUUUUUUUUUUUUGGCAGCUUAAAAAUCAAAAAUCUUCAAAAGAGAGAGAUGUUCAUAUGUAGCAUAAAGUCCUUAACUCUAGUUUUGGAUUAAACAUAGAAAAAAUCCAUUUCAUUUUUUUGGCAAUUUAAAAAUCUCCAAAAGAGAGAUAUGUAGCAUAAAGUCCUCAACAUUUUAUUUUUGGGAUUAAACAUAAAAAAGUGUUAUUCUUCCCAAUCAAAUAAACCGUCAAAAAACCCAAAUUUUUUUAUUUUUGGAAUUAAACAUAAAAAGUGUUAUUCUUCCCACUCAAAUAAACCAUCAAAAAACCCAAAUUGUAGAAAUAGUUAAAAAUUAUCGAAAAACCUAAUACUAAUUUACUAUUAUACCCAGUACUAAUUUACUAUUGUACCCAGAGCUCACCGCAUCAUAUAGAUCCCACCUUAGCCUAUAUAAAAUUUUAUUUUAUAAACAAAAUCAUUAAAUUAAAUAACAAAACUACCUUAAGCAUCCCUAAGGUAAAAAGAAUGAAAAAAACCAUUUCUAAUUGACGAUUAAAUUUGAGUCGUACUAAAAUUUGGUGUUUUCAUCAAAUUUAAUAUCACAAAUAGAGACAAAAAAAAAAACGUUCAGAACUAGAUGGGCAUAGAAAAAUCGGCCAAAUAUGGGCAUAGAAAAAUCAGCCAAAUACAAGUUAACAUGAAAAUAACAUAAUACCCAUUUAAAGAUGCUAUCUACACACAUCAAUAAAUAUAUAAUAUUAUUAAAAUAAGUGGGUUGGGUCUAUUAGAACCGCUUAAAGAUAGGCAGGCCUGGGUAAGGUCUAUUAGAACCGCAUAAAGAUAGGCAGGCCUCUACCCUUUUAGGGGAAUACACCAUAAAAAUUUUUAGCACCCAAUGAGGUUACCAUUACCACGUAUAUUAAGGAUGAAUGCGAAUUCGUUCCAGUCUAACUCUCCACCAGAUAAAACCAUAUGCCUGUUAACCCUGAUGGAAUAUAAACAAAUAUUCUAACAAAAAUUUAAAACCACGUUGCUUCACCUGGUAGAGAGUUGGUCUGAGCAUAGUACAAAAUAUCGCGAUAUAUCACGAUAUAUCGCGAUACGAUAUAUUUCCAAAAUUUUCGCCUUAAAAUAUCUGCCAAUAUUUUUCGAUAUUUACCGAUAUUUUCUGGAAAUAUUAUUUUUUUUCAAAUUUUUUUUUUUUGAAAUAAUUUGUUUAUUCUAUUUUUAGUAGAUAUGAUGUUUUUUAGGUAAAUACUAUGAAAAUAUACUUCCAAAUUUGAUUUUAUAUAUAUUUUGUAUAACAAAUUGAUAUAUUAAUCGAUACAUUCCAUGUAAAAUAUCCACCGAUAGAUUCCAAUAUAUCAUGAUAUAUCUAUUUUUUGGAGAUCGAUACAUUAGUCGAUAACGAUAUUUUGUACUAUGGGUCUGAGUAUGGAGUAAGUUCUUUCUCACUAAUGAUUAUUAAAAAAAAUAAUGUUCUAACCCAAUCUUUAAAUACCAUAUUAACAUCUGUCUGCUUCCUUAAUUUUUUUUGGUUCUGACAAUUAUAAAAACGUGUUCUACCGGCCCUGUGAGAACUUAAUCUUUAAGUACCAUAUCAACAUCUGUCUGCUUCCAUAAUCUUUUUGGUUCUUUGCAAUUUUUGGUGGUAAGAUUAAUUUAAUCAAAAAAUUUAAAUCACUUUAUCUGAAAACUUUAAAAAAACAAAAAUUAUACAAAAUUUGAGAAAGGUGAAAGUUAAAAAAAUUUAAAUCACUUUAUCUGAAAACUUUAAAAAAACAAAAAUUAUACAAAAUUUGAGAAAGGUGAAAGUUAAAAACACAGGAGUACUUGAGAGAAAUGUUCCAAAACUUAUAAAGCACGGCUGCAAAAUUUAUAAAAGUAUUAAAAAGAUUUGUGGGGAAAUUAUAGGUGCUUGGGAAAAGAUUGAUAGAAAUAAUUUACACCUCUCCAGCCUCUCGUGGCCAAGUUCUUGAUGUUAUCAUCAAAAUUAUUACCUAGAUUCGGUGAAACUAUGUUAAGGGGAAAUAACUUGGAAGUGGUCGAGUGGAUUAAUUAAAACAAAUAUGUAGGCAUCAUAUUUUUUUAGUUUAUAGUUUAAUUAAAAAGCAAACUAAUAUUUUCUUUUCAGUGAAGGCAGUUGAUUAACAAAGCGAACAAGAAAAAGUGAAUAAUUACAUUCACCAACUAAAAACACUGUCACACUAGAUCUAUGUAUUACAACUAAAAAAAUACAAGUUAAACCCAAAUUCAAUACACAUAACACCAGAACUUAAUAGAAAAAUAAAAUUCUCAAUUUGCUCUCAGUUGAAGGGCACAAUUUUUCCACAUUAGAUCUUCAGAAGAAAGAAAUACCCUUUCAAACACAUUAAAAAGCUUUCCUUUAUGCUUAAUUUAGCUUUCUUCUCUUCUUUAAUUAAAUGGAAAAUUAAAAAAAAAAAAAAACAAACUUCCAUUUCCUUAAAAAAGAGGAAUCACAAAACUACAUCAAGCAUAAUAGAAACAUUAAUUAAUAUAUAAUAAAAGGGCAGUUAUCUUUCCUCUUCAAAUCUUCUUCAGUGUGGUUAAAGCAAUCAAUCGUCAUUGAGCACAAAAAAUAUAAACAGAUCAGAUUAAAGUAAAUAAAAAACAGGGUGUAGAACCUACGAGAAAAAGCGAGAAACAAUAAAAAUAAUUAAGGGUUUCCGCAUGUCCAGAAGUUCUUCUAUUAUGACUAAUUUUGCAACUCUUUUGUUCAAAUUUCUGCUAUAUUUAGCAGAAAUUUAUCAAUAAUACAAGGAAGAGUGCAUAACAGAAGAAAAAAGGAAGAUAAAUCGCUAUAUAAGAACAAAAACUAGAAAAAAAAAUAAAAAAUUGAAGAGACAAUCAGAGUAGCAGGUGAAGAAAAACAGUUUUCUUCAAAGGACUUGCCUUUAAUGCGCAGCAAACCAAUGUUGCUGCGGUUUAAAGGCAGUCUUUUGAAGAUAAAACCCCUAAAAUGCAGAUAGAGUGAUGGGAUGUGCUGAAUUUAUACUCGAAAUUAGGGUUUUGAGAAAG
rnacentral:lncRNA from 1 species